rnacentral:rRNA from 1 species
UACGUAGGGUGCAAGCGUUAAUCGGAAUUACUGGGCGUAAAGCGUGCGCAGGCGGUCUUGCAAGACAGAUGUGAAAUCCUCGGGCUCAACCUGGGAACUGCAUUUGUGACUGCAAGGCUGGAGUGCGGCAGAGGGGGAUGGAAUUCCGCGUGUAGCAGUGAAAUGCGUAGAUAUGCGGAGGAACACCGAUGGCGAAGGCAAUCCCCUGGGCCUGCACUGACGCUCAUGCACGAAAGCGUGGGGAGCAAACAGG